GAUGAACGCUGGCGGCGUGCCUAAUACAUGCAAGUCGAGCGAACAGACGAGGAGCUUGCUCCUCUGACGUUAGCGGCGGACGGGUGAGUAACACGUGGAUAACCUACCUAUAAGACUGGGAUAACUUAGGGAAACCGGAGCUAAUACCGGAUAAUAUAUUGAACCGCAUGGUUCAAUAGUGAAAGACGGUUUUGCUGUCACCUAUAGAUGGAUCCGCGCCGCAUUAGCUAGUUGGUAAGGUAACGGCUUACCAAGGCAACGAUGCGUAGCCGACCUGAGAUGGUGAUCGGCCACACUGGAACUGAGACACGGUCCAGACUCCUACGGGAGGCAGCAGUAGGGAAUCUUCCGCAAUGGGCGAAAGCCUGACGGAGCAACGCCGCGUGAGUGAUGAAGGUCUUCGGAUCGUAAAACUCUGUUAUUAGGGAAAAACAAAUGUGUAAGUAACUAUGCACGUCUUGACGGUACCUAAUCAGAAAGCCACGGCUAACUACGUG
rnacentral:rRNA from 1 species